GUAGGUGGCAAGCGUUGUCCGGAUUUACUGGGUGUAAAGGGCGUGCAGCCGGGUCUGCAAGUCAGAUGUGAAAUCCAUGGGCUCAACCCAUGAACUGCAUUUGAAACUGUGGAUCUUGAGUGUCGGAGGGGCAAUCGGAAUUCCUAGUGUAGCGGUGAAAUGCGUAGAUAUUAGGAGGAACACCAGUGGCGAAGGCGGAUUGCUGGACGAUAACUGACGGUGAGGCGCGAAAGUGUGGGGAGCAAACAGGAUUAGAUACCCUGGUAGUCCACACUGUAAACGAUGAAUACUAGGUGUCGGGGAGCAAAGCUCUUCGGUGCCGCCGCAAACGCAUUAAGUAUUCCACCUGGGGAGU
rnacentral:rRNA from 1 species